CCGUAUAGGCGAAGGGAAACCGAGUCUUAACUGGGCGUUAAGUUGCAGGGUAUAGACCCGAAACCCGGUGAUCUAGCCAUGGGCAGGUUGAAGGUUGGGUAACACUAACUGGAGGACCGAACCGACUAAUGUUGAAAAAUUAGCGGAUGACUUGUGGCUGGGGGUGAAAGGCCAAUCAAACCGGGAGAUAGCUGGUUCUCCCCGAAAGCUAUUUAGGUAGCGCCUCGUGAAUUCAUCUUCGGGGGUAGAGCACUGUUUCGGCUAGGGGGUCAUCCCGACUUACCAACCCGAUGCAAACUGCGAAUACCGAAGAAUGUUAUCACGGGAGACACACGGCGGGUGCUAACGUCCGUCGUGAAGAGGGAAACAACCCAGACCGCCAGCUAAGGUCCCAAAGUCAUGGUUAAGUGGGAAACGAUGUGGGAAGGCACAGACAGCCAGGAUGUUGGCUUAGAAGCAGCCAUCAUUUAAAGAAAGCGUAAUAGCUCACUGGUCGAGUCGGCCUGCGCGGAAGAUGUAACGGGGCUAAACCAUGCACCGAAGCUGCGGCAGCGACACUAUGUGUUGUUGGGUAGGGGAGCGUUCUGUAAGCCGUUGAAGGUGUAUCGUGCGGUCUGCUGGAGGUAUCCGAAGUGCGAAUGCUGACAUAAGUAACGAUAAUGGGGGUGAAAAACCCGCACGCCGGAAGACCAAGGGUUCCUGUCCAACGUUAAUCGGGGCAGGGUGAGUCGACCCCUAAGGCGAGGCCGAAAGGCGUAGUCGAUGGGACACAGGUUAAUAUUCCUGUACUUGGUGUUACUGCGAAGGGGGGACGGAGAAGGCUAUGUUAGCCGGGCGACGGUUGUCCCGGUUUAAGCAUGUAGGCGGAGGUUCCAGGUAAAUCCGGUACCUUUUAACGCUGAGGUGUGAUGACGAGGCACUACGGUGCUGAAGUAACAAAUGCCCUGCUUCCAGGAAAAGCCUCUAAGCAUCAGGUAACACGAAAUCGUACCCCAAACCGACACAGGUGGUCAGGUAGAGAAUACCAAGGCGCUUGAGAGAACUCGGGUGAAGGAACUAGGCAAAAUGGUGCCGUAACUUCGGGAGAAGGCACGCUGAUAUGUAGGUGAAGUGAUUUACUCAUGGAGCUGAAAUCAGUCGAAGAUACCAGCUGGCUGCAACUGUUUAUUAAAAACACAGCACUGUGCAAACACGAAAGUGGACGUAUACGGUGUGACGCCUGCCCGGUGCCGGAAGGUUAAUUGAUGGGGUUAUCCGUAAGGAGAAGCUCUUGAUCGAAGCCCCGGUAAACGGCGGCCGUAACUAUAACGGUCCUAAGGUAGCGAAAUUCCUUGUCGGGUAAGUUCCGACCUGCACGAAUGGCGUAAUGAUGGCCAGGCUGUCUCCACCCGAGACUCAGUGAAAUUGAACUCGCUGUGAAGAUGCAGUGUACCCGCGGCAAGACGGAAAGACCCCGUGAACCUUUACUAUAGCUUGACACUGAACACUGGUCCUUGAUGUGUAGGAUAGGUGGGAGGCUUUGAAGUGUGGACGCCAGUCUGCAUGGAGCCAUCCUUGAAAUACCACCCUUUAAUGGCUGGUGUUCUAACGUGGACCCGUUACCCGGGUUGCGGACAGUGUCUGGUGGGUAGUUUGACUGGGGCGGUCUCCUCCUAAAGAGUAACGGAGGAGCACGAAGGUUAGCUAAUCCUGGUCGGACAUCAGGAGGUUAGUGCAAAGGCAUAAGCUAGCUUGACUGCGAGAGUGACGGCUCGAGCAGGUGCGAAAGCAGGUCUUAGUGAUCCGGUGGUUCUGAAUGGAAGGGCCAUCGCUCAACGGAUAAAAGGUACUCCGGGGAUAACAGGCUGAUACCGCCCAAGAGUUCAUAUCGACGGCGGUGUUUGGCACCUCGAUGUCGGCUCAUCACAUCCUGGGGCUGAAGUAGGUCCCAAGGGUAUGGCUGUUCGCCAUUUAAAGUGGUACGCGAGCUGGGUUUAGAACGUCGUGAGACAGUUCGGUCCCUAUCUGCCGUGGGCGCUGGAGAAUUGAGGGGGGCUGCUCCUAGUACGAGAGGACCGGAGUGGACGCAUCACUGGUGUUCGGGUUGUCAUGCCAAUGGCAUUGCCCGGUAGCUAAAUGCGGAAGAGAUAAGUGCUGAAAGCAUCUAAGCACGAAACUUGCCCCGAGAUGAGUUCUCCCUGAGACUAUAAGUCUCCUGAAGGAACGUUAAAGACUAUGACGUUGAUAGGUCGGGUGUGUAAGCGUAGCGAUACGUUGAGCUAACCGAUACUAAUGAACCGUGAGGCUUAACCUU
rnacentral:rRNA from 1 species